rnacentral:rRNA from 1 species
UACAGAGGUGGCAAGCGUUGUUCGGAAUUACUGGGCGUAAAGGGCGCGUAGGCGGCCUUCUAAGUCAGACGUGAAAUCCCCCGGCUUAACCUGGGAACUGCGUCUGAUACUGGGAGGCUUGAGUAUGGGAGAGGGAUGUAGAAUUCCAGGUGUAGCGGUGAAAUGCGUAGAUAUCUGGAGGAAUACCGGUGGCGAAGGCGGCAUCCGGGACCAUAACUGACGCUGAGGCGCGAAAGCUAGGGGAGCAAACGGG